rnacentral:rRNA from 1 species
AGGCCUAACACAUGCAAGUCGAACGAGAAGCGUUUCCUUCGGGAAAGUGGAAAGUGGCAGACGGGUGAGUAACGCGUGGGAACGUGCCUCUCGGUUCGGAAUAAUCAGGGAAACUUGGGCUAAUACCGAAUACGACCCUUCGGGGGUAAAGAGUUUAUCGCCGAUGGAUCGGCCCGCGUCAGAUUAGCUUGUUGGUGAGGUAAAGGCUCACCAAGGCGACGAUCUGUAGCUGGUCUGAGAGGAUGAUCAGCCACACUGGGACUGAGACACGGCCCAGACUCCUACGGGAGGCAGCAGUGGGGAAUAUUGGACAAUGGGCGCAAGCCUGAUCCAGCCAUGCCGCGUGGGUGAAGAAGGCCCUAGGGUUGUAAACCCCUUUCAGCGGGGAAGAUAAUGACGGUACCCGCAGAAGAAGCCCCGGCUAACUCCGUG